rnacentral:rRNA from 1 species
UACAGAGGGUGCGAGCGUUGUCCGGAAUCACUGGGCGUAAAGGGUGCGUAGGCGGGUCUUUAAGUCAGGGGUGAAAUCCUGGAGCUUAACUCCAGAACUGCCUUUGAUACUGAAGAUCUUGAGUUCGGGAGAGGUGAGUGGAACUGCGAGUGUAGAGGUGAAAUGCGUAGAGAUCCGGAGGAACACCAGUGGCGAAGGCGACACGCUGGGCCAUACCUGACGCUAAAGCGCGACAGCAUGGGGAGCAAACGGG